UGUCUCCCUGGCUUUGAUGAUCUGUACC
rnacentral:piRNA from 1 species